AAAAAAAAAACUUCAAAAGCUCUGAGCUCUCUCCUCCCCUCUCCAAGUCCGGUCAUCGGACUGGCCAUCGGCCGCCGGGGCUCCGCUGUCUCCGGCCACCGCGCGGUGGCCGGAACUCCAAAAAAGGUACUUUUUUUUAUUUUUUAGUUUUAUAUAUUUAUAUACAACUUAUUUUUAAAAUAAAAAAAGAAAAUAUCAAUAUAUGUAUGUAAGUAGAUUCGAAAAAAUAAAAUAAAGAAAAUAAAUAAAGAAAGAAAAAGAAAAAAAUAGUAACCUUUUACCCUUUUAUCUUGGAUUUUUUUUCUCCGAAUCUGUUUUGUGGAUUUGCAAUUUGAUAUUUGAAUCUUUUUUUUUGUAUUCAAUGUCUAAAGAAAUACAUUUGGUUUUCUUGGCUUAUAUAGCCAUUCUUACAACUUGUUUUUCUACUUGAUUGUUUUUACAGGUACAUGACGGUGGCGACAGUAGAAGGCGGUGCUGAUGUGACAAUGGCGGUGGCAACAAGGCAGACCUAGGUACUGUGGAGCCGGCGUGGCAAAAGCUAGGGACUAGGGGCGGCACUAGUGUUUGGGGGGCUAUGGUUUUUUCUGAAAAUCUUAAAGUUUAGGGCCUCGUAGGUUUGGGCUAGGGUUUUUUAAUUUUUAGGUUUGGGUAGUUGGGUUAGUAAUGGUGGGCUGAUGGUUGUUUGGGUUUGUUUGGGGUUUAGUUGGUUUAGUUUGGUUUUGGGUGUAGUUGGGUUUAUUUUAUUUUAUUGGGCCGAUGUAAUGGGUUUGGGUUUUAGCCUGGGCCAAAAUUGGGCUCCACACCGAUAAUAAAGUGCGACCAUUGUCUCCACAUCAUCAUCUACAAGUUUUAUCUCGG
rnacentral:lncRNA from 1 species